rnacentral:rRNA from 1 species
AGAGACAGCGUCGCCGCGGGAACACCGAGGUCCCGAGCGUUGUUCGGAUUCACUGGGCGUAAAGGGUGUGUAGGAGGUUUGGUAAGUCAGGUGUGAAAUCCCGCAGCUCAACUGCGGAACUGCAUUCGAUACUGCCGAACUAGAGGCUUGGAGGGGGAAGCGGAAUUCUUGGUGUAGCGGUGAAAUGCGUAGAUAUCAAGAGGAACGCCGGUGGCGAAGGCGGCCUCCUGGACAAGUCCUGACUCUGAAACACGAAAGCCAGGGGAGCGAAUGGGAUUAGAUACCCCCGUAGUCCCUGUCUCUUAUACA